ensembl:lncRNA
CGGCGCGGCAGAAGCCGCCGCUCCCUGCGCGUCCCGCGGCGGUGCGGACGCCUCCUCCGGGACGGGGCUGCCCGAUCGCUCUCCGGUCCCUGCGCUCCGGCGCUGCCGCUCCCGCGCCGACGAAAGGCGGGGGAUUUCCGUUCUCCCGGCCCCGGUGGGGGAACGCGACCUGUUCGCCGGCACGCGUGGAGCCGUCCCGGGGCAGGAGCUCGGAGUUCUUCCAAAGCUCCUCGACAUUUCAUGUUCAUUCAUGCACUGCCCCGUGCCCAGUUCAUUUAACCGGCCCCCAGAUUACCCUAUUACCGCUCUCAAACUGUUUACCCGUUCAUCCACGGCUGAAGCAGAGAAAAGGGCACCUCCUGACACCAUGGACAGCGCAAGGGACAGAAUUACCCAAAGAAUAUGCUGAUCUGGCCACCUAUCACAAAGUCUGCCAUGCAAAAAUCAAUGGUGACAGCACAGGC